rnacentral:rRNA from 1 species
ACGAGCGGCGGACGGCAGAGUAACACGUAGGAACGUACCCCAAACAGAGGGAUAAGCACCGGAAACGGUGUCUAAUACCGCAUAAUAUCUUCGGAUUAAAGCUUCGGCGGUUUGGGAGCGGCCUGCGCAUGAUUAGCUAGUUGGUAAGGUAACGGCUUACCAAGGCGACGAUCAUUAGCUGGUCUGAGAGGAUGAUCAGCCUGACUGGAACUGAGAACGGUCCAG